UACGUAGGGGGCAAGCGUUGUCCGGAUUUAUUGGGCGUAAAGAGCGUGUAGGCGGCCAGACAGGUCCGUUGUGAAAACUCGAGGCUCAACCUCGAGACGUCGACGGAAACCGUCUGGCUAGAGUCCGGAAGAGGAGUGUGGAAUUCCUGGUGUAGCGGUGAAAUGCGCAGAUAUCAGGAAGAACACCGAUUGCGAAGGCAGCUCGCUGGGACGUUACUGACGCUGAGACGCGAAAGCGUGGGGAGCAAACAGG
rnacentral:rRNA from 1 species